rnacentral:rRNA from 1 species
AUUGAACGCUGGCGGCAUGCCUAACACAUGCAAGUCGAACGGUAACGCGGGGGCAACCCUGGCGACGAGUGGCGGACGGGUGAGUAAUACAUCGGAACGUGCCCAGUAGUGGGGGAUAGCCCGGCGAAAGCCGGAUUAAUACCGCAUACGACCUACGGGUGAAAGCGGGGGAUCGCAAGACCUCGCGCUAUUGGAGCGGCCGAUGUCAGAUUAGCUAGUUGGUGGGGGUAAAAGCCUACCAAGGCGACGAUCUGUAGCUGGUCUGAGAGGACGACCAGCCACACUGGGACUGAGACACGGCCCAGACUCCUACGGGAGGCAGCAGUGGGGAAUUUUGGACAAUGGGGGCAACCCUGAUCCAGCCAUGCCGCGUGCGGGAAGAAGGCCUGG